CUGCUUUUACAGUAAACUAGAUUUUCACCCGUGCGAUGCACGGCUAAUAUAAUAAUAUAGAAUAAUAAAAAUAAUUAUGUAAUGAUAACAAAAAAAAUUUUUAAUUAAUUUUAUAUUUUUUAACAAAUAAAAAAAUAUACUAUCAAUCUUAAUUAUAGUACAUAUUAAAGUACACAAGCUAGAGAAAAAAAAAAUUGGACCAAAGUAAAUAUUCAACUAAAAUGCAAAAUUCAAUCCUGCUCUAUUAUCUAUAAAUUGGUGUGCAAAAUAAUUUAUAUUUACAUAUUGAUGUGCGAAAUAAAAUGAUAACUAAAAUUGAUAUGAAAAAUUACAAAUAACAUUAAUAUUUAAACAUAUAAUGAGAUCAACUAAACUUUCAUAUUUGAUACACAUUAGAGUAAGCACACAUAUAUUAUGUUUCUAUUGUCACUUUUAAGAUUCAAAAAUAUAAAGAUGUUGGUUUUCAAAAAAAUAUAAAGAAAAAAAUUUUGUUGCAUGAAAAUGAAAAGUUACAGGAGUGACAGUAGGAAAAAAAAUUACGAAAUGAAAAUUACAAAAGUAACAGGGAAAUAAUAUGUUCUAUUUUAAAGCAUCAAUAUUUAAGAGCGAAGAAAAUUACAGGAGUGAUGUGAGUUUUAAAUUUUUUUCUCUUUCCAAAAAUGUCUCUAUCCUUUUUUACUAAUAUUUUUAUGUCCAGAAAUUUUCAACCAAUCAUUUCAAAUAAUUAAAUAAGUAAUAAUUUAUUCCCAAAUAAAAAUAAAUAUUUUUCUUCUCAAGCGUAAUAUCCGCACCGCCAAUUCUUUCUCAACAUAAUAUCCAUAAAUUUCUCAAAUAUCUCAAUGACUUUGAAAUAAAAUUUCUUUCAUUAUAUGUGAUUUUUAAUAAUAUAGUAAAAAAAUUAAUUUUUUAUAAAAGCGUGAGUUUUUAAUUUUUUCUCUUUCCAAAAAUAUCUCUAUCAUUUUUUACUAAUAUUUUUAUGUUCAGAAAUUUUCAACCAAAUAUUUCAAAUGAUUAAAAAUAAGGGAAGAUGUGCAUGGCGUAGUUGAGGUACUAUUUAAUAAAAUUUCGUU
rnacentral:lncRNA from 1 species